rnacentral:rRNA from 1 species
UACGUAGGUGGCAAGCGUUGUCCGGAUUUACUGGGCGUAAAGAGCGCGCAGGCGGUCGUUCAAGUCGCGUGUGAAAGCCCCCGGCUCAACUGGGGAGGGUCACGCGAUACUGAUCGACUCGAAGGCAGGAGGAGGGUAGUGGAAUUCCCGGUGUAGUGGUGAAAUGCGUAGAUAUCGGGAGGAACACCAGUGGCGAAGGCGACUACCUGGCCUGUUCUUGACGCUGAGGCGCGAAAGCUAAGGGGAGCAAACGGGG